rnacentral:ncRNA from 1 species
GCAGCCGCCGGACGGGGCGGGCCGCGAGGGUUGGGGAGCCCGAUGACCCGAUGACCGGUUCGCCGCCGAGAUGGGACCGGGUUUUAGGGAGCCCGGCCCGAUCGCUCUGGCGAAGAAG